GAUGAACGCUGGCGGCGUGCUUAACACAUGCAAGUCGAACGGGAAACCUUUUAAUGAAGCUUCGGCAGAUUUAGCUGGUUUCUAGUGGCGGACGGGUGAGUAACGCGUGGGUAACCUGCCUUAUACAGGGGGAUAACAGUCAGAAAUGACUGCUAAUACCGCAUAAGCGCACAGGACCGCAUGGUCCGGUGUGAAAAACUCCGGUGGUAUAAGAUGGACCCGCGUUGGAUUAGCUUGUUGGUGGGGUAACGGCUCACCAAGGCGACGAUCCAUAGCCGGCCUGAGAGGGUGAACGGCCACAUUGGGACUGAGACACGGCCCAGACUCCUACGGGAGGCAGCAGUGGGGAAUAUUGCACAAUGGGGGAAACCCUGAUGCAGCGACGCCGCGUAAAGGAAGAAGUAUCUCGGUAUGUAAACUUCUAUCAGCAGGGAAGAUAGUGACGGUACCUGACUAAGAAGCCCCGGCUAACUACGUG
rnacentral:rRNA from 1 species